rnacentral:rRNA from 1 species
GUGAGGAAUAUUGCGCAAUGGAGGCAACUCUGACGCAGCCAUGCCGCGUGCAGGAAGAAGGCGCUACGCGUUGUAAACUGCUUUUAACCGGGAAGAAACCCCAGGACGUGUCCUGGGUUGACGGUACCGGAGGAAUAAGCACCGGCUAACUUCGUGCCAGCAGCCGCGGUAAUACGAAGGGUGCAAGCGUUAUCCGGAUUCAUUGGGUUUAAAGGGUGCGUAGGCGGAGCGUUAAGUCAGUGGUGAAAUCCUGCAGCUUAACUGUAGACUUGCCAUUGAUACUGGCGCUCUUGAGUGCGCUUGAAGUGGGCGGAAUGUGUCGUGUAGCGGUGAAAUGCUUAGAUAUGGCACAGAACACCAAUUGCGAAGGCAGCUCACUAAGGCGAUACUGACGCUGAGGCACGAAAGCGUGGGGAUCGAACAGGAUUAGAUACCCGAGUAGUCC